AUCGCUCGCCUUGCUGCUGCUGGAAUGGUGCCAUCGCAACCAGGUAAGCUCCAAGAGAAUGAGCUAGCCUUUCUUUUCUUGCCUGUUCUUUGCUUAUAGGCGAGCUAGCCGACGAUGACGACGCAGUGAUCCUCACAGAUCCUGAAAUACGAAGGUCGGAGAUACCGUGGCAUUUUUGCAACGACAAAGCUUACCAGGAUCACAUCGCCAAGUUUAACAGCCAAGCUCUCAAGGCUGCCGAUCUCGCUAUCGUGAACACCUGCAUGGAGCUCGAGGGCCAGAUCGUGAGUGACAUAUCGCAGCAAAUGGAUGACAAGUUCUUACCAGUCGGUCCUCUCUUUCUUCUCAACGACGAGCCACACACUGUCGGAUUUGGCGUCUGCGAUACCGAUUGUCUCAAAUGGCUCGACGAGCAGCCGCCAUCUUCCGU
rnacentral:lncRNA from 1 species